UAGAGUUUGAUCAUGGCUCAGGAUGAACGCUGGCGGCGUGUCUAAGGCAUGCAAGUCGAACGCGUGUAGCAAUACACGAGUGGCAAACGGGUGAGUAACACAUUGGUAACCUACCCCAAAGUGUGGAACAACCCUCCGAAAGGAGGGCUAAUACCACAUGUGGUUUUCUGGCAUAUGUCAGAAAAAGAAAGGCUCGAAAGAGUCGCUUUGGGAGGGGCCUAUGGCUUAUCAGCUAGUUGGUAGGGUAACGGCCUACCAAGGCUAUGACGAGUAGCGGGCGUGAGAGCGCGACCCGCCUCAGUGGAACUGAGACACUGUCCACACUCCUACGGGAGGCUGCAGUCGAGAAUAUUCCCCAAUGGACGAAAGUCUGAGGGAGCGACGCCGCGUGCAGGAUGAAGGCCUUCGGGUUGUAAACUGCUUUUAUAAAGGGAUAAACCCUCGCUCGUGAGCGAGGCUGAAGGUACUUUAUGAAUAAGCACCGGCUAACUCCGUGCCAGCAGCCGCGGUAAUA
rnacentral:rRNA from 1 species